CCAGGACAAGGUCAAGCAGUCUUCCCUCCAGGGUGACCCGUGUGGUUUCAGGCCCAGUCGCUAAACAGCUGCUGACCCCAAAAAGAGCACCAUGCAGCAGGACAAUCACCCUUCCCAAAACCUCCACGCCAAUGACGUCCCCCUUCAGUACGGAUGAGGAAUCGGAUGAAGAGAUGCCUCCAAAGAAGCAUCUCCAUUCACAGCCAAAAACCCUACAGCUCAGCUCAGCUCAGCACUGCUCCUCAGGCUGCCAAAGUCCCACAAACCAAGAGCUUGAAACUUUCUGCCCUUCCACCCAAAGAGCCUCAAGUUAAAUCCUCAGCAGCUCUGGUGACCAAGACAACAGUCACGGCCGUGGAGAGCGAGAGCGAGUGGACGGAAGGAAGUGAAAUGGAGGAGAUCAACCCCAAGCAGCUUCAGCGUGCCCAUAACCACGGCCAGAAUGGGAACAUGAACCACAACAAUGUCCAUGGGCUAACCGAGGCUGGGACUGGCAGCACUCUGAAGAGUAGCCUGGUUUCUCUCAGUGACUGGAGUGACUCUGAUGGGCUAACCAAGGCUGGGACUGGCAGAACUCGGGAGAUUAGCCUGGUUUCUCUCAGUGACUGGAGUGACUGAUGGUAUAUCAGGGGUGGUAGUAGCCUAGUGGCUACUCGCCUAUGAACCAGAAGACCCGGGUUCGAAUCCCACUUACUACCAUUGUGUCCCUGAGCAAGACACUUAACCCUAAAUUGCUCCAGGGAGACUGUCCCUGUAAUACUGAUUGUAAGUCGCUCUGGAUAAGGGCGUCUGAUAAAUGCUGUAAAUGUAAAUGUAAACACAAAUUCUACAUUUUCAAGCUGCGAAUUAUCAAGAAGGACUUGUCACCUACUCAGCC
rnacentral:lncRNA from 1 species